rnacentral:lncRNA from 1 species
CUGCUAAUUACCGCUCUCCAAAGGUAUUUGUUCACAGGUGACUGCCUGUUUUUUAAGCAGCAGUGUCAGUUCCAAAUGUUUUCGUUUCUGCUUGCAAGCGAUGGUGUCCUGUGGCAUUUCUAAUAAAUAUCAAACUUGUCACCAGAGACUCUUAGGAAUUCAUGAACCAUCAAGAGCUUUAACUCUUCCUUUUUGCGCAGGUGGUCGGGAUACUUCUAACCAGGCCUGCUCUUUGCUCAAGCAGCUCAGCGGCCAUGGGGUCACCCUGCUUUGAAGUGUCUUGCAGGAAGCUUUCUGUGAUGCUCCCAGCCGAUAAGAGAUGGCUCUGCUGUGUUGACGAGAGACUCUGGUAUAUCUGCAACAAGUCUGCUGUCACUCCAAACGCUACGGGAGAUGAGAAGGCCAACAUUAAAAGAGUGAUGCUGUCAGGAGCCAAACAAGAUAUCAGCCCCCCCCUUUCCACCUGCAGGGAGUUGCAACACUGGGCUAAGGAAAUCAAAUCAAGAAUAAAGACAAAAGAUGCGCUAUAGCUGUUGCGCACUAUCCAAGAAUAAACUCCCUUGGUCUGAUGUAUGUGAUGAGUGAUGAGCUCAAAACUACUGGUGCCAUCCACUGGCCUACAGCCCUUAACACCGUCAUUAGGGGUGGAACAAAAAUGGCGAGCAAUAUCGGAGCUAUCCAGCCAUACAGUUUUGAGCCAGAUUCCAGCUCAGAUGAGGAAAAAGAAGACGUUCAUGGAUCUAUUUCUCUACAAACCCUCUCCUUCAGGAUUGCAUCAAGUCACAAACAAAUGCAGCGAGCGCUAACAGUUCAAACACUUCAAGGUCCGCUGAUAGAAGACGAGUUGGCUGCCAAUAAAAAGAUUCAGGGAAAAGAUGUCUUCUUCAUUCAUUGGCAAAAAAUUCAAUCUACCGGUCAUACUUUUUUUUUUUUUAACAAAACGAGAAAAACUGCCAUAAAAGUGCAAAUUAGAAAAACAAGCAUAUCUAUGCAGC